GGCGGGGGUUGGGGGGAUGGGGGACAUUUUGGGGUGGGGGUCAAUAACCCCCCUCUGAACUUCUCUCCUGCUGCUGCCACGGAUAGGACGCGGGGUAAGUGCCCCCACCCCCUUUUUGGGGGGGCUUAUCCCCACCCCAGACCCCCGCUUUUUACCCCAAAAAUUGGGGGGGGGGGAGGAGGGAACAGCCUGUGACCUGGGUGCAAGAAUUGGGGUCCCCCACUACCAGUAUGGGGAGAGUGGGGUGGUGGGGCCCCCCACCUUCCCAGUCCCAAGGUUUUGGGGUCCCCCGGGCUGUAGAACUUGGGGUCCCCCAAGGGAUUUGGGGUCUCUUCCCUCCAUCCCCCAGGUUUUGGGGUUCUCCCAGGUCUCUGGGACUUGGGGUCCACCACGAUUGUUCUCUCAUACGCCAGGUUUUGGGGUCCCCCAAUGUCUGUAGAACCUGGGGUCCCCUGAGGGAUUUGGGGUCCUCUCCUCCAUUGCCCAGAUUUUGGGGUCCCCCCAAUAUCUCUGGAACUUGGGGUCCACCACAAUUGUCCCCUCCAUCGCCCAGGUUUUGGGGUCCCCUAAGGGAUCUGGGGUCCUCUCCUCCAUCCCCCAGGUUUUGGGGUCCCCCCAGAUUUUGGGGUCCACCAAUAUCUCUGGAACUUGGGGUCCACCACAAUUGUCCCCUCCAUCGCCCAGGUUUUGGGGCCCCCUGAGGGAUUUGGGGUCCUCUCCUCCAUCCCCCAGGUUUUGGGGUCCCCCCAGAUUUUGGGGUCCACCAAUAUCUCUGGGUUUUGGGGUCCACCACAACUGUUCCCUCCAUCGCCCAGGUUUUGGGGUCCCCUGAGGGAUCUGGGGUCCUCUCCUACAUCGCCCAUCUUCUGGGGCGCCCCAACUCCCAAACCAACCACACCAUGUGUCAUCCCUCCCCCUCCCCCAAUAUUUUUGGGGUCCCCCUAACCCCUCCCCCCAUGUCCCCGUGCC